rnacentral:rRNA from 1 species
AAUGAACGUUGGCGGCGUGGAUUAGGCAUGCAAGUCGAGCGAGAAGCCCCUUUCGGGGGGUGGAAAGCGGCGGAAGGGACAGGAGCGCGUGGAUUACGUACCCUCGGGUUUGGGAUAGCUGCGGGAAACUGCAGGUAAUGCCAAAUAACGUCUAUGGACCAAAGGUGAGACUCCGCCCGAGGGGCGGUCCGCGUCCUAUUAGCUAGUUGGUGAGGUAACGGCUCACCAAGGCUGCGAUGGGUAGCGGGUGUGAGAGCAUGACCCGCGUCACUGGGACUGAGACACUGCCCAGACACCUACGGGUGGCUGCAGUCGAGAAUCUUCGGCAAUGGGCGCAAGCCUGACCGAGCGACGCCGCGUGCGGGAUGAAGGCCUUCGGGUUGUAAACCGCUGUCAGUAGGGAGGAACUGCGCGGAAGCUAUCUUCC